rnacentral:rRNA from 1 species
UACGUAGGGUGCGAGCGUUGUCCGGAAUUAUUGGGCGUAAAGAGCUCGUAGGCGGUCUGUCGCGUCGGAUGUGAAAACCCAGGGCUCAACCCUGAGCCUGCUUCCGAUACGGGCAGACUAGAGGUAUGCAGGGGAGAACGAAUUCCUGGUGUAGCGGUGAAAUGCGCAGAUAUCAGGAGGAACACCGAUGGCGAAGGCAGGUCUCUGGGCCUUACCUGACGCUGAGACGCGAAAGCGUGGGUAGCAAACAGG